rnacentral:rRNA from 1 species
AUUGAACGCUGGCGGCAGGCCUAACACAUGCAAGUCGAACGAGUGGCGGACGGGUGAGUAAUGUCUGGGAAACUGCCUGAUGGAGGGGGAUAACUACUGGAAACGGUAGCUAAUACCGCAUACCAUCAGAUGUGCCCAGAUGGGCUUAGCUUGUUGGUGGGGUAACGGCUCACCAAGGCGACGAUCCCUAGCUGGUCUGAGAGGAUGACCAGCAACACUGGAACGGAGACACUGGCCAGACUCUGACGGGAGGCAGCAGGGGGGAAUCUUGGACAGUGGGCGCAAGCCUGAUGCAGCCAAGCCGGGUGUAUGAAGAAGGCCUUCGGGUUGUAAAGUACUUUCAGCGGGGAGGCGUUACCCGCAGAAGAAGCACCGGCUAACUCCGUGCCAGCAGCCGCGGUAAUUC